UUACGGAUAUUUUAAAAAAAAUAUCUACCUGUUAAGUAGAAGAAGAUCAAUAUUUAUAAUAUCUCUGUAAGA
rnacentral:tRNA from 1 species